GGGGCACUCAUCUGUUUCCAUCUGAGUUUUUGGACCUUAAUGGAAUUUUAUCACUGGUCAUUUCUAAAAUUUCAUUCAUCCCCAAGCAUUUCGGGGACAAAUUUUAUCAAAUUUAUUCCAGUGCCAGUUUGAUAGACCCCUGCUACUUCACUAGUACAUGGGCUAUCCCCCAGGCAGACCCUUGCACUACCUGGCUGCCGAUGAGACGCCUAGUCUCAUCACCUAAGUGGAGAACCCUCGCUUCACAUUCCCCGGCUGGCGCAUUGUCGGGCAGGCAGGUUCUUCCUUACACUGAAGGUUGCAAGCUGACUUGCUCAGGCAGGAACUCAAAAUUCCGUUUGUAUGCUGAGUGUUUCUCAAGGGCCAAAAUUAAAUGAUUUUUUAAUAAAUAUUAUUAUUUAUUCUAACUGUCUUUCUGCUUUAAGCCAGUAUGAUUUGCUGAGACUAUGUUUUGGUUUACACACAGAAACCCCUUAUAUUUGCCUUGUUUGCAUUUUGUUUUGGAGCAGUUAUUUGGUCUUUUUUGCUCAUUUAUGUGGGCUAGCUAUCAAAUUGCCAUGCUGACUUUAAUUGAGAUUUGCUAUAUCAGGAUCCCUCAACAGUUACACAAACAAAAGAUUACACAACCUCCUACUGAAACUACAGAAAUAAUAUUCCCACUAUGAGACUACAAGAAAUAUAUAAUAAGAGUCUACAAGAAAAUACAAUAGAACAUUACAAGAAACUACAAUAUGAGACCACAAGAAAAUACAAUAUGAGAUAGCAGAAUACAAACACCUUUGAAGUUUUGUAUAAAUAUCUACUUAUAUGUAAUAUAAGUAUUGUUUAUACAAACAGAAAAGCCAUUUCAGUUUACAAGUAAUUAAUUUUAUGAUAAAGAUGCUGACAUCAUGGAUGCAAUUAAUUAACAUACACAGACCACUUGUUAUAUCUUGAGGUAAUUAGUCUAACAUUUGACACCUUGAAGUUACAUUGGAAUCUCACUAGGAGGCACACUAAUCUUUUCUUAAUCAGAUACAUGUCACAAACAAUCACUGUAGGAGAGGAAAGCAGAAUAUGAUACCAGAUCUCUUUAAUACUGAUU
rnacentral:lncRNA from 1 species